rnacentral:rRNA from 1 species
AGUGAACGCUGGCGGUAGGCCUAAUACAUGCAAGUCGAGCGGCCGCACAGGAAGAGCUUGCCCUUAAGGGUGGCGAGUGGCGGACGGGUGAGACAUACAUCGGCAUCUACUUUGUCGUGGGGGAUAACGGGGAAAAACUUACACUAAUACCUAAUACGACCUACGGGUGAAAUCAGGAGUUAUUGGGAGCUUGCGCGACUGAAUUAGACGGCGCCGGAUUAGCUAGUUGGCGGGGUAAGGGCACACCAAGGCGACGAUGCGUAGCUGGCCUGAGAGGAUGAUCAGCCACACUGGAACUGAGACACGGUCCAGACUCCUACGGGAGGCAGCAGUAGGGAAUCUUCCGCAAUGGGCGCAAGCCUGACCCAGCCACACCGCGUGGGUGAUGAAGGUCUUCGGGUUGUAAAGCUCUUUUGUUGGGGAAGAAAAAAUGUGUAUGUAUCUCUCCCCGUUUUGACGGUACCUAAAGAGAAAGCCCCGGCUAACUUCGUG